GUCUACGGCCAUGCUACCCUGAACAAGUUCAAUCCUAUCUGAUCUCGGAAGCUAAGCAGAGUCGGAUCUGGUUAGUACUUGGAUGGGAGACCACCUAGGAAGACCAGGUGCUGUAGGCG
rfam:Pteropus alecto contig57579, whole genome shotgun sequence.